rnacentral:rRNA from 1 species
CAGACGGGUGAGUAACACGUGGGAACGUACCCUUCGGUUCGGAACAACCAGGGAAACUUGGGCUAAUACCGGAUACGUCCGCAAGGAGAAAGAUUUAUCGCCGAAGGAUCGGCCCGCGUCUGAUUAGCUUGUUGGUGAGGUAACGGCUCACCAAGGCAACGAUGCGUAGCCGACCUGAGAGGGUGGUCGGCCACACUGGGACUGAGACACGGCCCAGACUCCUACGGGAGGCAGCAGUAGGGAAUCUUCCGCAAUGGACGAAAGUCUGACGGAGCAACGCCGCGUGAGUGAUGAGGGCUUCGGGUCGUAAAACUCUGUUGUUAGGGAAGAACAAGUGCUAGUUGAAUAAGCUGGCACCUUGACGGUACCUAACCAGAAAGCCACGGUAACUACGUGCCAGCAGCCGCGGUAAUACGUAGGUGGCAAGCGUUAUCCGGAAUUAUUGGGCGUAAAGCGCGCGCAGGUGGUUUCUUAAGUCUGAUGUGAAAGCCCACGGUCAACCGUGGAGGGUCAUUGGAAACUGGGAGACUUGAUUGCAAACAGGAAGUGGAAUUCCAUGUGUAGCGGGUGAAAUGCGUAAGCAUUGGAGGAACACCANGU